rnacentral:lncRNA from 1 species
UUCAAAUCCCCCAACAGUUCUUUAAUUUAGAAUGCAUUACAGUUGGUAUUUAUAUGAGUUAACUGACAGCUGUAAGAAAUCAGCAUUGGGCUGUUGUGUAAGUUGAUUGAUAUUUGCAGACAAAAAGGCCUGAAGGACAAAGCCUAGGAAGAGAGAAAAGUGCCUUGUGAUCAUUUCUGCUUCUUCUUUCUUGAAACAUGGGCCCUGUGGGAAGUAGAAUCCUCUUUAUCUUCACAAGUUCUACAGACAUUUUUAACCAAAGGGAACUGUCAUUCCCAUGGAUACUACUAAAUUAAAAUCUUUUGAGUGCAUAUCUUUGUUGUUUGGAAGGCACUGUAGUUUUCUGCAUUUAAUACAACCAUCACAUCUGGAAAGAGGAAUAUGUGGACAAUCUUAUCUUCAACAAGAUAUCAUUUUGGGAAAGCAUUUCUAUGGAAGAAACCACAAAGAAUGGCAAAGCAGGACCUGACUCUGAGGAUGAGAUUCUACAACUAGUUCCAAUUCAAGCAACAUCUCCUCAAAAGUGUCCAGAGAAAGUAGCCCUAAUGAAAGAGUCUACAGGAGAGAGCCUCAGCCCUGAGACACUACAAGCUUAAACUCUUGGUAAAAAGAGAAAAACCCUCAUGGCUCUGGAGACUCCAAAAUAGAUUAAGAAAGGUUCCACACAAUUGAAGAAGAUGCCAGCCACUGGCGAAGUAAGAAGCCAAGGACCCAUCCCUAAGAAAACAAAGAAUAUAAUUCUUCCCUUGAGGUCAAAACUCUGGAGAAGACUCCCAAGAAUUCAUGAACCAAGCCAUUUACUACUCACAAUAAAGUAGGAAAAAUUAUGAAAUCA